rnacentral:rRNA from 1 species
UAGGGAAUCUUCGGCAAUGGACGAAAGUCUGACCGAGCAACGCCGCGUGAGUGAAGAAGGUUUUCGGAUCGUAAAACUCUGUUGGUAGAGAAGAACGUUGGUGAGAGUGGAAAGCUCAUCAAGUGACGGUAACUACCCAGAAAGGGACGGCUAACUACGUGCCAGCAGCCGCGGUAAUACGUAGGUCCCGAGCGUUGUCCGGAUUUAUUGGGCGUAAAGCGAGCGCAGGUGGUUUAUUAAGUCUGGUGUAAAAGGCAGUGGCUCAACCAUUGUAUGCAUUGGAAACUGGUAGACUUGAGUGCAGGAGAGGAGAGUGGAAUUCCAUGUGUAGCGGUGAAAUGCGUAGAUAUAUGGAGGAACACCGGUGGCGAAAGCGGCUCUCUGGCCUGUAACUGACACUGAGGCUCGAAAGCGUGGGGAGCAAACAGGAUUAGAUACCCUGGUAG